rnacentral:lncRNA from 1 species
ACUGUAUAAUUCAUCCCUUUUGACCCCUGUGUUUAGGAUGAUUCAGGGUUAAACUGUCAACCCUGAUUAGAUCAUCCGAAUCAUGCUCAACUCAAACAAUCCUGUGACUCCUCACUAGGAGUACCCUGGCCAAGAUUUUGCUAAAUUGAAACACGACUGUACACAGCUCCUGAACUAGAGUGGUCAAUCCCAUCUUGACACGCACCGACAAGUCAAGUACUUGACUACACCCAGCAUCCUUCCAUCACUGAAUUAGAAAUUUAGGUAGUCUAGUGCCUAAGUGCAGUGAGUUGCUUACAAGUCACCAUGACGGUCUCA